AACGCGAAGAACCUUACCAGGUCUUGACAUCCUCUGACACUCCUAGAGAUAGGACGUUCCCCUUCGGGGGACAGAGUGACAGGUGGUGCAUGGUUGUCGUCAGCUCGUGUCGUGAGAUGUUGGGUUAAGUCCCGCAACGAGCGCAACCCUUGAUCUUAGUUGCCAGCAUUCAGUUGGGCACUCUAAGGUGACUGCCGGUGACAAACCGGAGGAAGGUGGGGAUGACGUCAAAUCAUCAUGCCCCUUAUGACCUGGGCUACACACGUGCUACAAUGGAUGGUACAAAGGGCUGCAAAACCGCGAGGUCGAGCCAAUCCCAUAAAAACCAUUCUCAGUUCGGAUUGUAGGCUGCAACUCGCCUACAUGAAGCUGGAAUCGCUAGUAAUCGUGGAUCAGCAUGCCACGGUGAAUACGUUCCCGGGCCUUGUA
rnacentral:rRNA from 1 species